AUUACGUGUAAUUAUUUGACGGUACCGUAAGAAUAAGGAUCGGCUAACUCCGUGCCAGCAGCCGCGGUAAUACGGAGGAUCCGAGCGUUAUCCGGAAUUAUUGGGUUUAAAGGGUUCGUAGGCGGUUUAGUAAGUCAGUGGUGAAAUCUUGCAGCUUAACUGUAAAAUUGCCGUUGAUACUGCUAAACUUGAAUAGUAUGGAAGUAAUUAGAAUAUGUAGUGUAGCGGUGAAAUGCUUAGAUAUUACAUGGAAUACCAAUUGCGAAGGCAGAUUACUACGUACUUAUUGACGCUGAUGAACGAAAGCGUGGGUAGCGAACAGGAUUAGAUACCCUGGUAGUCCACGCCGUAAACGAUGGAUACUAGCUGUUCGGUCUUCGGAUUGAGUGGCUAAGCGAAAGUGAUAAGUAUCCCACCUGGGGAGUACGUUCGCAAGAAUGAAACUCAAAGGAAUUGACGGGGGCCCGCACAAGCGGUGGAGCAUGUGGUUUAAUUCGAUGAUACGCGAGGAACCUUACCAAGGCUUAAAUGUAGAUUGACAGGUUUAGAGAUAGACUUUUCUUCGGACAAUUUACAAGGUGCUGCAUGGUUGUCGUCAGCUCGUGCCGUGAGGUGUCAGGUUAAGUCCUAUAACGAGCGCAACCCCUAUUGUUAGUUGCCAACGAGUAAUGUCGGGAACUCUAGCAAGACUGCCGGUGCAAACCGUGAGGAAGGUGGGGAUGACGUCAAAUCAUCACGGCCCUUACGUCUUGGGCUACACACGUGCUACAAUGGCCAGUACAGAAAGCAGCUACCAGGCAACUGGAUGCGAAUCUCAAAAGCUGGUCUCAGUUCGGAUUGGAGUCUGCAACUCGACUCUAUGAAGCUGGAAUCGCUAGUAAUCGGAUAUCAGCCAUGAUCCGGUGAAUACGUUCCCGGGCCUUGUACACACCGCCCGUCAAGCCAUGGAAGCUGGGGGUACCUGAAGUCGGUCGCCGCAAGGAGCUGCCUAGGGUAAAACUAGUGACUGGGGCUAAGUCGUAACAAGGUAGCCGUACCGGAAGGUGCGGCUGGAACACCUCCUUUCUAGA
rnacentral:rRNA from 1 species